rnacentral:rRNA from 1 species
AACGAACGCUGGCGGCAUGCCUAACACAUGCAAGUCGAACGAGACCUUCGGGUCUAGUGGCGCACGGGUGCGUAACGCGUGGGAACCUGCCCUUAGGUUCGGAAUAACUCCCCGAAAGGGGUGCUAAUACCGGAUAAUGUCUUCGGACCAAAGAUUUAUCGCCUUUGGAUGGGCCCGCGUUGGUUUAGCUAGUUGGUAGGGUAAAAGCCUACCAAGGCGACGAUCCAUAGCUGGUCUGAGAGGAUGGUCAGCCACACUGGGACUGAGACACGGCCCAGACUCCUACGGGAGGCAGCAGUGGGGAAUAUUGGAAAAUGGGCGAAAGCCUGAUCCAGCAAUGCCGCGUGAGUGAUGAAGGCCUUAGGGUUGUAAAGCUCUUUUACCCGGGAUGAUAAUGACAGUACCGGGAGAAUAAGCUCCGGCUAACUCCGUG